GAUGAACGCUGGCGGCAUGCCUAAUACAUGCAAGUCGAACGAGAGGAAGGAAAGCUUGCUUUCCUGAAUCUAGUGGCGAACGGGUGAGUAACACGUAGGUAACCUGCCCAUGUGCCCGGGAUAACUUCUGGAAACGGAUGCUAAAACCGGAUAGGUAGCAGACAAGCAUUUGACUGCUAUUAAAGUGGCCUUGGCCAUGAACAUGGAUGGACCUGCGGUGCAUUAGCUGGUUGGUGAGGUAACGGCCCACCAAGGCGACGAUGCAUAGCCGCUGAGAGGGCGGACGGCCACAUUGGGACUGAGACACGGCCCGAAACCUACCUACGGGAGGGCAGCAGUAGGGAAGUUUUUACGUUCAAUAGGGGGAACCGUACGAACGAGCAAUGCCGCGUGAGUGAGGAAGGUCUU
rnacentral:rRNA from 1 species